rnacentral:rRNA from 1 species
AUGCACGAACUUUCUUUGAAUGUUUCAUCUCAAGAAUGUGCCAAUAUAAGUACUUUAAGUUUUAACGCCAGUGACAUCCCACGAUCUAUUCAGCACUUAUCAAUCACCAUACAAAAUAUAUAUGAUGAAGGUUUUGUAGAAGAAAUGGGUAUAUUGAAGAGCACGAUAGACGUCGGAAAUUUGCGGACUUUGAUGAUUUUUGGAUAUCAUGAUGCAAGAAUAUCAAAUAUUUUUAAAGAUACAUUUGAAGAAUUAAAGGGUCUCCGAGUAUUAUUUAUACCAAUGUACACUCCAAAAUCUUUGCCAAACAGAUUUUCAAAUCUUAUCCACCUCCAACACCUUAAAAUUAGUUCACCUUACUCGAAACAUAUGACUCUACCUAGGGCAUUAUCUAGAUUUUACCACUUGAAAUUCCUGGACCUGGAACAUUGGUGUUGUAGUGCAAAUUUGCCUAAAGAUAUCAGCCGCCUUGUGAAUUUACGCCAUUUCCAUUCUUCCAAAGAACUCCAUUCCUGUAUUCCUGAGGUUGGAAGGAUGAAGUGUUUACAUGAGCUAAAAGAAUUCAUUAUUAAGAAAGAGCAUGUUGGAUUUGAACUGAGAGAGUUGGGGGAAUUGAGAGAGCUCGGGGGUAAACUCAGUAUAUGUAAUCUUGAAACUGUGGCAUCCAAGGGAGAAGCUAGUGAUGCCAAGUUGAAGAACAAAAGAAAUCUGAAAGGGUUGAGAUUAGUUUGGGGUACAGAGCACCAGACAAUUGAUGAUGAUGUUCUUGAUGGUCUUCGACCACACCCUAAUCUUAGGGUGCUUGGCAUUAUAAAUGCUGGUGUUGCCCCUUGUCCUAGCUGGUUGUGUGGUGACAUUAUCACAAAAAGAUUGGUGUCUUUCCAUCUUGAAGGUGUAUCUUGGGGUACACUUCCACCUUUUGAGCAGCUAUCACACCUCACCAGUCUCAGUUUGAAGAAUAUUGCCGGGAUGCGUGUGUUCGGCCCUGGCUUUAGUGGUGUUACAGAAAAAAGUUUCAUGCACUUGAAGACAGUUGUGUUUCAGGAUAUGCCAGAACUUGUGGAAUGGGUCGGGGAACCUAAUAGCCAAUUGUUUUCAAGGCUUGAAAGCAUUAGCUUUGGAGAUUGUCCUCUUCUCUGCUCAUUUCCCUUCUUGGAGUGCUCUGGCCGUUUUAGCAACCUGUGUGCACUUGUUAUUCAUAACUGCCCUGAGCUGUCUCAGUUACCCCCUAUGCCUCACACCUCCGCACUAACACAUAUGAGUGUGAGGAAUGCUGGGUCAUUCCUAUCGUACGACGGAAAUAAAUUCACUAUUGAAGGGUAUAAUGGCGCUCUGGCCUUCCACAAUAUGGAUAAAGUACAAGUUAUGCAAAUUGGGAAUGUAUCACAUAUUUCGCUGUCAGACCUCCGAAACCUGAACUCCCUGAGAAAUCUGGAUGUCAAAAAAUGCGAAAGCAUGUUUUCUUCAGAACUGGAUGACAGUGUAUCCCUCCAUUCAGUUCAGUUUCUUGACCUAAAAGAAUUAUGUAUUACAGGAGAUGUGUUUUCAAAGCUAUUGAAGUGUUUUCCAUCUCUUUGCCAUCUUACCAUCGAGGGUUGUAAGAGCCUGGUUCUUCUUCCUGUGGAGGAUGGAGGAGGACUGUCUGACCUCAGGAUGCUCCAAUCAUUUAAUGUUUUAUCCUGUAACAAGAUGUUCUCUCGGUGGCCCAUGGGAGAAGUAGGAGGAGCUCACACCAUCAAGCCUUUCCCCCAUUCCCUCUGGAAAAUAAACAUUUGCACAGACUCAAGCAUAAAGUCAAUGGCCCUAUUUUCAAACCUCACAUCUCUCACCUAUCUAUAUCUUAUAAGUUGUGAAGAAUUAACAAUGGAUGGGUUCAAUCCUCUCAUCACAGUCAACCUCAAGGGAUUGUGUAUAUUUAACUUGUCUAUCGACAAACAAAGGUUCUCCAUAGGAGCAGAUCUGGUGUCAGAGGUGGCAAGCGCCAGAUUAAUUCAUGACGGAUCAUUCGAAUUGGAAAGCCUUCGGGUGGAUAGCUUCUCAGCAGUGCUUGUUGCUCCCAUUUGCAACCACCUUGCCGGUACCCUCCACACUUUAGCGUUGUAUGAUCAGCAGGCGGAAACCUUCACGGAAGAGCAAGAGCAAGCCCUUCAGCUCCUCACCUCCCUCCAUCAUCUAAAGUUCUGUCAAUGCACGAGUCUGCAGUCCCUCCCUCAAGGGUUGCAUCGCCUUUCUUCUAUCACGGAAUUAGUGAUCUCUGGCUGUCAUAAAAUCAGAUCACUGCCACCCAAGGAGGGCCUUCCCACUUCACUGCAAAAGCUAGAAGUAACUUAUUGCAGUCCCGAGCUAAUUGAGCAAGCUGACAAAUUGAAACGAGGACAACAUAUUUUUCGGCACUAG